AUUGAACGCUGGCGGCAGGCCUAACACAUGCAAGUCGAACGAGUGGCGGACGGGGGAGUAAUGUAUGGGAAACUGCCCGAUGGAGGGGGAUAACUACUGGAAACGGUAGCUAAUACCGCAUACCAUCGGAUGUGCCCAGAUGGGAUUAGCUAGUAGGUGGGGUAACGGCUCACCUAGGCGACGAUCCCUAACUGGUCUGAGAGGAUGACCAGCCACACUGGAACUGAGACACGGUCCAGACUCCUACGGGAGGCAGCAGUGGGGAAUAUUGCACAAUGGGCGCAAGCCUGAUGCAGCCAUGCCGCGUGUAUGAAGAAGGCCUUCGGGUUGUAAAGUACUUUCAGCGGGGAGGCGUUACUAACAGAAGAAGCACCGGCUAACUCCGUGCCAGCAGCCGCGGUAAUAC
rnacentral:rRNA from 1 species